UACAGAGGGUGCGAGCGUUAAUCGGAAUUACUGGGCGUAAAGGGCGCGUAGGCGGUUUGUUGGGUGUGAUGUGAAAGCCCUGGGCUUAACCUGGGAAGUGCAUCGCAAACUAACUAACUGGAGUAGAUGAGAGGGUGGCGGAAUUUCCGGUGUAGCGGUGAAAUGCGUAGAGAUCGGAAGGAACGUCAAUGGCGAAGGCAGCCACCUGGCAUCAUACUGACGCUGAGGCGCGAAAGCGUGGGGAGCGAACAGG
rnacentral:rRNA from 1 species